AUUGAACGCUGGCGGCAUGCUUUACACAUGCAAGUCGAACGGUAACAGGCCUUCGGGUGCUGACGAGUGGCGAACGGGUGAGUAAUGCAUCGGAACGUGCCCAGAGGUGGGGGAUAACGCAGCGAAAGCUGUGCUAAUACCGCAUGUGAUCUGAGGAUGAAAGCGGGGGACCAGGCAGCAAUGUUUGGCCUCGCGCCUUUGGAGCGGCCGAUGUCAGAUUAGGUAGUUGGUGGGGUAAAGGCCUACCAAGCCGACGAUCUGUAGCUGGUCUGGGAGGACGACCAGCCACACUGGGACUGAGACACGGCCCAGACUCCUACGGGAGGCAGCAGUGGGGAAUUUUGGACAAUGGGCGCAAGCCUGAUCCAGCAAUGCCGCGUGCGGGAAGAAGGCCUUCGGGUUGUAAACCGCUUUUGUACGGAACGAAAAGGCUCUGGCUAAUACCUGGGGCUGAUGACGGUACCGUAAGAAUAAGCACCGGCUAACUACGUG
rnacentral:rRNA from 1 species